rnacentral:rRNA from 1 species
AUUGAACGCUGGCGGCAUGCUUUACACAUGCAAGUCGAACGGUAACAGGCCUUCGGGUGCUGACGAGUGGCGAACGGGUGAGUAAUGCAUCGGAACGUGCCCAGAGGUGGGGGAUAACGCAGCGAAAGCUGUGCUAAUACCGCAUGUGAUCUGAGGAUGAAAGCGGGGGACCAGGCAGCAAUGUUUGGCCUCGCGCCUUUGGAGCGGCCGAUGUCAGAUUAGGUAGUUGGUGGGGUAAAGGCCUACCAAGCCGACGAUCUGUAGCUGGUCUGAGAGGACGACCGGCCACACUGGAACUGAGACACGGCCCAGACUCCUACGGGAGGCAGCAGUGGGGAAUUUUGGACAAUGGGCGCAAGCCUGAUCCAGCAAUGCCGCGUGCGGGAAGAAGGCCUUCGGGUUGUAAACCGCUUUUGUACGGAACGAAAAGGCUCUGGCUAAUACCUGGGGCUGAUGACGGUACCGUAAGAAUAAGCACCGGCUAACUACGUG